UACGUAGGGUCCGAGCGUUGUCCGGAAUUACUGGGCGUAAAGAGCUCGUAGGUGGUUUGUCACGUUGUUCGUGAAAACCCACAGCUCAACUGUGGGCGUGCGAGCGAUACGGGCAGACUAGAGUACUGCAGGGGAGACUGGAAUUCCUGGUGUAGCGGUGGAAUGCGCAGAUAUCAGGAGGAACACCGGCGGCGAAGGCGGGUCUCUGGGCAGUAACUGACGCUGAGGAGCGAAAGCGUGGGGAGCGAACAGG
rnacentral:rRNA from 1 species